rnacentral:lncRNA from 1 species
UUGCACUCACAUUUCCAUCAUUCCCCACAGGUUUACCUUUAAAUCUUCAUCCAUCGUAAAAUCUUAUGCUAGGAUUCAUCUUCUAUCACAUCAUAUUCCUAGCAAAACAAAGAAAAAAAGAGUCCUUCAUGCAUUCACAACAUAUCAUAUCAUUUCACCUGCCUCCAGGGAAAAAACUUGGAUCCUUUAGUAUUUAACUAUCUCCCAUCGUGAUCACAUGAAGAGUGUCCCUCUUCAUAUUCUCUGGUCGAAGGUACUUAAAUAGGGGCAACUGUCACACCAUAAUUUCCCCCCUCAUUCAAUAAAUCAAUACAUGCAUCAUGACAUUUUCAUCACCUGCAUAACUUAGCAUGUAUUUCAUCUCGCAUAAUGCUUAAAAUGUUUAUCACA